rnacentral:rRNA from 1 species
AGUGAACGCUGGCGGUAGGCCUAACACAUGCAAGUCGAACGGCAGCACAGUAAGAGCUUGCUCUUACGGGUGGCGAGUGGCGGACGGGUGAGGAAUACAUCGGAAUCUACUUUUUCGUGGGGGAUAACGUAGGGAAACUUACGCUAAUACCUCAUACGACCUACGGGUGAAAGCAGGGGAUCUUCGGACCUUGCGCGAUUGAAUGAGCCGAUGUCGGAUUAGCUAGUUGGCGGGGUAAAGGCCCACCAAGGCGACGAUCCGUAGCUGGUCUGAGAGGAUGAUCAGCCGCACUGGAACUGAGACACGGUCCAGACUCCUACGGGAGGCAGCAGUGGGGAAUAUUGGACAAUGGGCGCAAGCCUGAUCCAGCCAUACCGCGUGGGUGAAGAAGGCCUUCGGGUUGUAAAACCCUUUUGUUGGGAAAGAAAAGCAGCAGGUUAAUACCCCGCUGUUCUGACGGUACCCAAAGAAUAAGCACCGGCUAACUUCGUG